AGAAUCAACGCUGGCGGCGUGCCUAACACAUGCAAGUCGAACGAGAAAGUGGAUCAAUCCAUGAGUAAAGUGGCGCACGGGUGAGUAACACGUGACUAACCUACCCUUGAGUGGGGGAUAAACCUAGAGAAAUCUGGGCUAAUACCGCAUAAUACCUUCGGGUCAAAGGAGCAAUUCGCUUAAGGAGGGGUCGCGGCCGAUUAGUUAGUUGGCGGGGUAAUGGCCCACCAAGACAGUGAUCGGUA
rnacentral:rRNA from 1 species